AUCACUGGGGGAGGGAGAGAACGGCUGAGGGUGUUCAUCACGACAGGACGGGGCGCAGGAACCAUUUUCAGAGGCUCCUGGUUCAGAGUGACGGUAGCGGACAGCUGAUGCACCUGUAGCCGAAGGCUCUGCCCGACUGAUCUCUGAACAGAACUGAGACCCUUCGCUGCUUGAACAUCCGAAGCACAAAGUGCCGAGAACUGACCGGGACCAGACCGAGGCCUUAUCUCAGCUCUGCGCCCACAGACUGACUUCUCAUUUGGUUCGAUAACUUCCUACCCCUUAUGCUACCUCGUUUGUUGGUGACUUGGCUGUGUUCUGCUCUGUGUGCCAGAUUAAAUUCAGCAUGAAAGUUCCUCCAGACUAGACAAAGAACAAACAUGUUGAAAUGUGAGUCGCAGAACAUUACUUCGAUUACUGGAUAUGCACACGUGACUGCGACCAAGCUGGAGAGCGACCUAGGUGGGACACGGCAGUGACUACAGCACCCCCAAAGGUCAGGGUACUGAGUCCUGAACAGGUUUCAUUCUCUGAGAUUCAUUUAAGAUUGCGCAGUCAUCCUCCACCCCAGUCGCAGACACCCCACUGGAGAGCAUGCGGCACCCAGGAAGUAGUUCUGCACGCAUGGACCCAGCAGUACUGGUCUCCAUCAUGAGUUUGGAAAAGUAGAGGGAUACUGGCAGGGCCUGAUAUAUCCAAUUACAAGCAAAGAAGAGAAAGAUGCUUUGAAAGCAGUCUGCUAUAAAGUGAUGGUGUUGACACCGAACAAACAAAAUGCAACAAUUAAGAAUCCUGGAAUGGGGCGCCUGGGUGGCUCAGUCGUCAAGCAUCUGUCUUCGGCUCAGGUCAUGAUCCCGGAGUCCUGGAAUCGAGUCCCACAUUGGGCUCCCAGCUCAGCGGGGAGCCUACUUCU